rnacentral:tRNA from 1 species
ACUUAAAUAGCUCAAAUAUUAGAGCAUAAUAUUGAAGAUAUUAAGGUAAUAUAUUAUAUUUUUAAGUA